UACGUAGGGGGCAAGCGUUGUCCGGAUUCAUUGGGCGUAAAGAGCGUGUAGGCGGCCAGGUAGGUCGGUUGUGAAAACUGGAGGCUCAACCUUCAGACGUCGACCGAAACCAUCUGGCUAGAGUCCGGGAGAAGAGAGUGGAAUUCCUGGUGUAGAGGUGAAAUUCGUAGAUAUCAGGAGGAACACCGGUGGCGAAAGCGGCUUCCUGGCCCGACAUUGACGCUCAUGUACGAGAGCGUGGGGAGCAAACAGG
rnacentral:rRNA from 1 species